CUACGUAGGGGGCGAGCGUUGUCCGGAAUGAUUGGGCGUAAAGGGCGCGUAGGCGGCCCGGUAAGUCUGGAGUGAAAGUCCUGUUUUUAAGAUGGGAAUUGCUUUGGAUACUGUCGGGCUUGAGUGCAGGAGAGGUAAGUGGAAUUCCCAGUGUAGCGGUGAAAUGCGUAGAGAUUGGGAGGAACACCAGUGGCGAAGGCGGCUUACUGGACUGUAACUGACGUUGAGGCUCAAAAGCGGGGGGAGCAAAAAGGAUUAGAUCACCGGGUAGUCCACGCCGUAAACGAUGAAUACUAGGUGUCGGGUUUCUAUAGAGAUUCGGUGCCGCAGCAAACGCAAUAAGUAUUCCACCUGGGGAGUACGUUCGCAAGAAUGAAACUCAAAUGAAUUGACGGGG
rnacentral:rRNA from 1 species